rnacentral:rRNA from 1 species
GUUAAUGGUGUAACGAAGGUGCACUGGAUUGCCUGGGAUAAGAUGUGCAUUAGGAAGCAUGAAGGAGGACUUGGGUUUAGAGAUCUAGAGGCUUUCAACCAAGCUAUGCUCGCGAAACAGGCCUGGCGCAUGUCACAGAACCCCAUGUCAUUGUGUGCGAGGGUGCUAAAAGCAAGGUACUUCUUAGAAGGCUCUAUUAUUAAUGCUACUUGCCCUGGAGGCGGUUCUUAUACAUUCAGAAGUAUUAUUCAUGGCCGAAACCUAUUGCUGGACGGACUCAUAUGGAGGAUAGGAGAUGGAAGUAAGAUUAGAAUCCACCACGAUAAUUGGGUUCCCCGAAAGGGUAGUUUGACGCCACUGGGCCAGAACUAUAUUCAUGGGGUAAACCGGGUUAGUGACUUGCUGAAUGCGCAUGGCACAACCUGGGGUCCUCUUAAGGUACAGGAGAUGUUUCCCGCGGAUGAAGCACAAGAAAUAAUGCAAAUACAGAUAGCGGGACCAGGUGUGGAGGAUUACCUAGCUUGGAAUUCCACAAAGAACGGGGUGUUCACGGUCAGGUCAGCAUAUCAUCUUAGGAUGGCGCAGAAAAAACUCAAAUCCGAACGGCCGGAGAACUUGUCGACGGUGGCCAAUCACAAAGCCUAA